GGGACCUUAAGUUAGAUAGACUGUUAGCCUUCAAAGUUGAAAGAGCAAAUGAAUUUUUGCAGGUUUCG
rnacentral:tRNA from 1 species